rnacentral:rRNA from 1 species
CGAACGCUGGCGGCGUGCUUCACACAUGCAAGUCGAACGGAAAGGCCCUGCUUUUGUGGGGUGCUCGAGUGGCGAACGGGUGAGUAACACGUGAGUAACCUGCCCUUGACUUUGGGAUAACUUCAGGAAACUGGGGCUAAUACCGGAUAGGAGCUCCUGCUGCAUGGUGGGGGUUGGAAAGUUUCGGCGGUUGGGGAUGGACUCGCGGCUUAUCAGCUUGUUGGUGGGGUAGUGGCUUACCAAGGCUUUGACGGGUAGCCGGCCUGAGAGGGUGACCGGCCACAUUGGGACUGAGAUACGGCCCAGACUCCUACGGGAGGCAGCAGUGGGGAAUAUUGCACAAUGGGCGGAAGCCUGAUGCAGCAACGCCGCGUGAGGGAUGACGGCCUUCGGGUUGUAAACCGCUUUCGCCUGUGACGAAGCGUGAGUGACGGUAAUGGGUAAAGAAGCACCGGCUAACUACGUG